rnacentral:rRNA from 1 species
ACACGACUACAUUAGAUACCCCUGUAGUCCUAGCCGUAAACGAUACUCGCUAGGUGUCGGCCACGGUGCGACCGUUGUCGGUGCCGUAGGGAAGCCGUGAAGCGAGCCACCUGGGAAGUACGGUCGCAAGGCUGAACUUAAAGGAAUUGGCGGGGGAGCACCACAACGCGUGGAGCCUGCGGUUUAAUUUGGAUUCAACGCCGGACAUCUCACCAGGGCGACAGCAGAAUGAUGGCCAGGUUGAUGACCUUGCUUGACAGGCUG